rnacentral:rRNA from 1 species
UACGUAGGGGGCAAGCGUUAUCCGGAUUUACUGGGUGUAAAGGGAGCGCAGGCGGCGUGGCAAGUCAGAUGUGAAAACCCGGGGCCCAACCCCGGGAGUGCAUUUGAAACUGCCAUGCUGGAGUGCCGGAGAGGUAAGCGGAAUUCCUAGUGUAGCGGUGAAAUGCGUAGAUAUCAGGAGGAAUACCGUUAGCGAAGGCGGCAAUCUGGCUGGAAACUGACGCUGAGGUGCGAAAGCGUGGGUAGCAAACAGG